rnacentral:lncRNA from 1 species
UCGUGUCGUUCAUGAGCUUGAUAUUCUAUGCCUCGACGAAGAUGCGCAACGUCGAGGACGUCAUCGAGCGGCUCGGACGUGCGUUUUGUCUCGAUUCCUUCCCUCCCUCCUUCCUCGCCCUCCCCGCGCCGCGCCCGUCGCUGACCGUCGAACGAUUCGAUCCGUCACCACGCAGAUCCGCUCCACUUCUUCCUGUUCAACGUCCUCGUCGCGUCCUUCGGGGUGAUACCCGGCGCCGCGAGCGGGACGUCCAUCGCCGCGGGCGUCAUCUACGGCACCCCGAUCGGCGUGUGUCUCGUGAGCACGUCCUGCGCCAUUGGCGCGGGCGUCUCGUUCGUGAUCGCUCGAUACGCCGCGCGGCCUCUCGUGGAGAAGCUCUUCGUCAGGCGCGUUCUAUACACUGGUCCCCAUACGACCCCGUCCGCGUGGUGAACGCCGUUCCUUAAGGACUUUCGCCGGCGAUUCUCUCCGCCCAGGGUCCCUCGCUUUCAAUCCCCACCCUCGACGCCUUUCAACUCCGCUUCUGACGCCUAUGAACUCCACCCCGACGUCGCUUCGUAUGGAACGACCCUCAUCAGAGACUCCUCGCGGUUCGCGCUCCUGGACCAGGCGGUCAUGCGCGACGGCGCGCAGAUCGUCCUGCUCGCGCGCCUCUCCCCGAUAUCCCCCUACGUCGCGUUCUCGUACAUGUUCGGUCUCACCGCGGUGGGGUUCUUG